CCGCGGCCUGGCGCGGGGAGCGGCGUCCUGAGGCGGGCGGGGAGCGGAGGGCCGCGACCAGCGCAGGUGCGGGCAGAGGGCCCAGCCGCCUCUUCCUCGGGCCGCGCAGAGCCGCCGCCGAGGGCGGGAGGCUGCGCCUCGGGCGCCGGGGCCGAGGGUAGCUGCGCGGAGGAGGAGGCAGCGGCCGCCUCGUUCCCUGGCGCCGAGCCGAGCGCAGCCGAGCGCCGGCCGCCGCGCCCUGAGGUGAGGCGAGGCAAGAGGCGACCAGCGAGGGGAAAGGGGCGUGAGUCCUGCGUGCCCACCGAGACCCAGGCUGCGGCGAGGAGGGGGCCGCCGUACUCGGAGGCAGCGACUUUGGGUGUGAAGUGUUGAAGAGCUGCUUGCUGGAGGAUUUGAAUGGCUGAAGGAAGUAGCUUGGCCAUAUCAUGCCAUAUAAAGCAUACGAGGAUGUUGUGAGGUUAGAGUUGUAAUUUGCAUCCAUCUGAACUCGUGUAUCUUAAUUUUUCUUUCUGCUAGUGAUCACUUUUAUCCACUGAGCUUUUUCAGCAGACACCUUCAGCUUUCAGGGUAGCAUCUUAGGACACGAAGAGAACUUCUCAAGGUAUCGCUCAAAAUGGAAAGCUUGCACAAAAGUAGCUUGUCCCCACGUUCUCUAGCAGGAGGCAGAACCCCCUAAGGCAUUGUGUUCUCUUUUCCUAGGACCUGUUGACUCCCUCCUUAGCUUUUAAACCUGGAUCAUAUUAUAAAAUUCCCAGCUCUUCAGUCACUUAAAAUAUUUAUUGGCUUGUUAAAGUGAACCACAUCUGCUGCUGCGAAGCCAAAAUUUGUUUCAAAAUUCUAUCACGGGGCUGAGGUAUUAUUUAGCAGAAGUCAUUAUAAAACUAAUUUUACCCGUUUCUCAAGAAAAGUAAUAAAAAGGCAAGGGAAGCAAUGUAGUCUCCAGUCAGCCUCAAUUUUUUUUUCAGAGCAUUCAAGUGUCUCUAAACACACUCAUUAAGCGUAGCACUGGCAUGGGUUUUGUAUGUUUAGCUGUGAAAAAGGGUAGCUUGGACAUGUUAAAACUUAAUGGAGAUCAUUUGCAGUCCAUUAAGAGGAACUAGUAUGGCAAGAUAACUUGGCGAUGUCUCAUAGCACAAGCCCAAAAGGACAUUCACAGAUCCUUUGGAAGUGGGAGUUUUGAAAAAUGGUAGGUGGAAAUCCUUUCUAAAUGGUGUAAUUAGAGUGGAACUGGCUGCCAGAGGAAAUCAGUCGGCAGGGCUCAAAGCAAGCAGAUAUUUGUGUGAACACCAAGAGGUGCAUUUAUAGGGAAAGCCAAAAGAACAGUAAAGGAGAGGGAUUAAAGCAUGAGACUCAGGCUUCAGACUCAUCUUUAUGGGAAGCAGAACUGCACUUGUCUGUGUCAGAACAUUUAAGUGUGUUUUCUACCCAGUGCUCUCCUUCAGCUACCUGGUUCUGAGCCCUGUUAGGGAGAGGGUGCUGGGCCAGCAGGAGUGGGAGCAUGAAAAAUCUUCCUGCUAAUUGACGUUGCUGUGAAGGCAAAGUUCAUCUGCUGUAACCUAUCCCCCUAUUCUAAUGCAGCCCAUGAAAAGAACUUUAGCUUUGCCUGUAAGAUGUAAAACGUGAAUAAUGCUGGCUGUGGUUCUCCACAAGUGAGAGGCAAGGUCAAGGCUCCUGCACUGCCGGCAACAGCUUUUCCCCUGACAGUGGAAUGUCUACUUUCUAGGUGUAGUUUUCCUUCACAGAGAAACUGAAGGAAACAAAAUGUCUAGUUGUCAGAAUGUUGGUCGUUCCUGAAAUGAUGUGCUCUGGUUGUUGGCUUGAAGGGCAUUUUUCAUUGUUCAUCAUCCCCUUCAACCUUUUUUUUUUUGGUUUGUUUUGUUGCCUAAGUCUCGCUGGUCCAUUAGCUUUGUGUUUCCAUGCUCAUUAACAAGGAACUUUGGAGUGAUAUCCCCGUUUGUAUAGAGGUUAAGUAUUGGUAAAUCCACCAGUUUCUCUUGGUAACUUCCAGAUGCCUGCAGUUUGGGGUUGCAUUUGGUUCAGGUUUUGAGUUUAACCUCUGAGCUGUUGCAUCUGGCACUUAGCAGAUGCUGGAGUUCUUCCCACACAUAGGGAUCAGGUCAUCCCUCACAAUUCUGUUUCAUAAGAAUCACAGCUACAAUCCUAAAUGUUGCCUUGUGAGCUUUAUAUUUCAGGAGAAAAGGUUUCAUUCCUUGGGUAAUUUUGGGAGAUAGGGGGUCGUCUUCCUCUAAGUAUUUCAGCAUCUUUCUUGCAGGUACCAGGUGGUACUUUGAGCACAGCUACUCAGUCCAGUUUAUUUUGCCAACGUGAUGACAGCUGUGACCUGACUGAGAGAUAGUUGCUGUAUAAACUGAGGUUGUGUUUUUUAUAUUAACUUGUUUCCAGUAUUUCUUCUUUCUUUUGCUUAUUUGAAGGGAAUAAAUGUUGUUUAAUAGGUAAACAGAACCCUGCAUUUGACUUGGAUGAGAAGCAGCUCCCAGGCUGUGCUUGCCGCUCUAUGCCUAGAUGUCUGUGCUCCAAUCUGUCUGUCCAGGAACAGCUACAGACUCGCUGUUCUCACUGCUGACACUUCAGCUGACAGCAAUCAGAACUCAGAUGGUCCUGAACCCUCCUCAGAAACAAAGCAAGCACAGAUUUCAGUCAAGUGCUGAGUAUGUUUGAUCUAGCACAGCGUAGCAGUGGAGGCUGUUGUGAAACAAGGGGAGAAAUGCAAAGCGAGGGUAGAAAUACAUCCCCACAGGUGGCCAGGUCCUGCUUUAGGGAGUUACAAUCUGGAGUGUCCAUGAUGGUAGCCUCGUUGUGGCUAUAGAAGGAGAGUUUGACCUAGGUUGAGGAAUUCAAAGUAUUGUGGUCUCUAUAUUGGCAUGAAGUUCUUGCAUUAAAUAUAAUUACUCUGCUGCUGGCUGGCUUGAAACCCUCCCUGCGUUCUCACGUAAGCUAUAUAUGCCCCAAAUUAUUUUUGGUUGGUUUAGGUUUUUCUUCCUGUGUUACUUAAACCACUAGAGAAAUAUGGGCUCCUUAGUCCUGGGGACAUCUGGAAAGCUCUAGUGCAGAGCAUUCAUUUAAAGCAUCUAGUCUCACUCUUUUCUAGUCUAUUGCAGCAAGAUUUUUGGUUCUGCUAAGUAUUCAGGUCUUUCCCCUCAAAGAAGGCUCUCAGGUUACAUCAAGUUUAGCUUACAAGUUUUACACACUUGGGCCCCAGGUUGCUCAAAGAUCCAUGUAGAUCCUGGAAUGAGUAAUGAGCUGACAGAUAUAUGGCAUGCCAGAAUUCUCCAUGUUAGGGACAAAGUGGAAAGCUGAUGGAUACAGAAUGUCUUCAGAGGCUGGUGUUGAGCACAGACACAUUCUGCUGAGAGCUCAGGGCCUUAAAAACCUUCCUUCAAAUAAAAUGGCAUUUUUUGGAUCCAGCUUUUCCCUAAUAUGCAAAUAAGAUCGUAGUAUUAAAUAUAUUUACAUAGAUGAAACCCUUUUGUAUGCUCUGUAAUGUAGUUGCAAUGCCUUGGGAACAUGUAAGAACAUUUUGACAGCCAUUAAGAGGUUGAUUUACUGUUUGGAGCAUUAAUAACACACACCAGGCUUGAAGCAAGCUUAAUAAUGGACUUUUUGGACUAAUAUUUUACUGUUGCUACCUGAAAACCAAUUUUAGGGUAGUAAUGUCAUGAGUUCAAAUAAAAUUUGGGUUUGUGGCAUCUGCAAAUUGGAGAAAUUACUUUUUUUUUCAUGCCCUGUUGGGGUAGGUGCAUGUAAAUUCUUUAGCUGCUGUUAAAAUACCUGGGGAAGAGUGAACUUGUGUAGCAGAGAGUUGUCCAAGUAUCACCAGAACACACCACACGUUUCUUCAGGCAAGUCUCACCACAAUUUGAGGUGAGCUGGGAUUGGUUUGUGUGCAGAAAAGUGCCUCCUAAGGAGUGGAUAUACCAUAAAGGGACAGAUAAAGACCUGGCUCCUCUUCCUCUGGGUGUUAGUUUGGCCUGUGGCAGGUGACACUGAAGUCGGGGGGAGACUUAAUGUAGGAUUUGAUCACUGAGCUUUCAAAGCUGGUUUAUGCAGAGGGUCUGGACUGAGGCAGAAGUAUGAUGUUAUCUAGUCCACCUUAGGUGUUUUGCAGGCAGAUCAAGCUUGGUGAUUCACCAAGAACAUUGAAUUUCACUUGGUUGCAGGAGACUUGCUGUGCUCUAUGACCUUUGGCUUCUGCACUGUUGUGAUUUUGUCUAUCUGAAAAUGGAAAAUGAUUUAAUAAAGCACAGACUCCAUUAACUAUCUAGUGCCUGUUCCAUCUUCUCACUUCAGUCAUUCAAGGAUUUUAAGCAGAGUGCUCUUGGUGGCUAAGUGUUCCAAUAAAUGAACUUGUUUUUAACAUGCUUCAAA